rnacentral:misc_RNA from 1 species
GUUGGUGAACCAGCGGAGGGAUCAUUAUCGAGUUGCAAAACUCCAACCCGUGUGAACAUACCUCAGUCGUUGCUUCGGCGGUCUUGGGCCAAAACCAAAAACCGCCGGAGGGUCCAAACUCUUGUUUUAUUUAGUGUAUCUCUGAGCCUGAAAACAAUAAUCAAAACUUUCAACAACGGACCUCUUGGUUCUG